AACCAGAGAGAUUGUGACAUAUUGCUGUACCCAAGGAAUCAAAUCCGAGUUCGUCUACAGCUGAUUCGGCAGGUACCAGGGCGUCCGCGAUGGUGAGUGAUAGCACCGCGAUGGUGGUAUUGCUCCAUAUGCCUGAGACCCUAACAAAAGCCUAAUUACAACUCAUAUGCCUGGAGCCAGGACAUGUGCAGGAUGGUGAUGUAACUUUCCUCUCUGGAAUGGGUCCUGCACAAAGGAAUGAUAGUAACAUAUUGCAAAGCCAGACACACAGACUCUGCCAAGAGAGGGGAUUAUUACAUAUUGCAGAGCCCAGCACCUAGGUGGAGUGACUCUCAUCUUUUUCUUCUACCCCGUAUAUAGCCAGCUUGGUGACCUACUAUUUGAGUCUAUACCCAGGCCCAGACCACAGAUGAAAUUGUGCAAUAUGUGGAACAAACACCUAAACAAUAUAUAACACCUUCCUUGGCUCUGUCUACAAAGGGCACUUUUAUAUAUCACUGGGACCAUCAACCAGGUGAUGUUAAUUAUCUUCCUGAAACCUGUCUACAAAGAGAGUUGUGUCGUAUACCUAGGCCCGUCAUGUAAGUGAUGUCAGUCCCUUCUACUGCCUUGGCCCUGCACUUACAGUGCAUUGUGACACAUAACAAGGUACUGCACACAGACGAUGUGAUUCUCCUUUUUGGGUUCUGCCAAAAGGAAGCAUUGUAAUAAAUCGCUUGGCUCAG
ensembl:lncRNA LINC00293 long intergenic non-protein coding RNA 293